AGCGAACGCUGGCGGCAGGCUUAACACAUGCAAGUCGAGCGGGCACUCCGGUGUCAGCGGCAGACGGGUGAGUAACACGUGGGAACGUACCCUUUGGUUCGGAAUAACGCUGGGAAACUAGCGCUAAUACCGGAUACGCCCUUUUGGGGAAAGGCUUGCUGCCGAAGGAUCGGCCCGCGUCUGAUUAGCUAGUUGGUGGGGUAAUGGCCUACCAAGGCGACGAUCAGUAGCUGGUCUGAGAGGAUGAUCAGCCACACUGGGACUGAGACACGGCCCAGACUCCUACGGGAGGCAGCAGUGGGGAAUAUUGGACAAUGGGCGCAAGCCUGAUCCAGCCAUGCCGCGUGAGUGAUGAAGGCCUUAGGGUUGUAAAGCUCUUUUGUCCGGGACGAUAAUGACGGUACCGGAAGAAUAAGCCCCGGCUAACUUCGUG
rnacentral:rRNA from 1 species